rnacentral:misc_RNA from 1 species
GGAAAACUUCCACGUGACCUCAGCGAGCGGCAAGAAAAGAAUUGGGCGCCCAAGCCUAUGAAUGCGGGAACUUUUCCAGCCAGCGGAAAGGUUGACGCAGGACUGGUACCAACUCCCGACUUGAUUGACGAAGAAUCAAUCGGUGCGAUCUCCGCUUCCCAACGCCAGAGGUACGAAUUGACUAACUAGCUUAGUCGCUUCUGACCAAGAAGAAGGGUUAAGUGAAAGCAAAGACCAAAACAUCCGAGGGCAUCUGAUGCAGCUAAAAGCCUAGGUAUCCUUUUAUAUUACGCAACGGCAUCUGAUGACACGAGAAGAAAACUCAAAGCACUCUUUUCCAUGUGAAUAUACAUAAUAGCAUCGAGGGAUCUGCUCUUAUUGCUAGCUCCUUUUUGCCUGGCUGGACGUAGCUUUAUGCUCUUGAAUUUUCCUAUCACUUCCUUUUGAAUAAACUAAUAAUCUCUUUUUUCGAUUCCGC